ACUCCUACGGGAGGCAGCAGUGGGAAUAUUGCACAAUGGGGGAAACCCUGAUGCAGCCAUGCCGCGUGUGUGAAGAAGGCCUUCGGGUUGGUAAAGCCUUUCAGUAGGGAGGAAGGUAGUGUAGUUAACACCUGCAUUAUUUGACGUUACCUACAGAAGAAGCACCGGCUAACUCCGUGCCAGCAGCCGCGGUAAUACGGAGGGUGCGAGCGUUAAUCGGAAUUACUGGGCGUAAAGCGCAUGCAGGCGGCCUGUUAAGUCAGAUGUGAAAGCCCGGGGCUUAACCUCGGAAUUGCAUUUGAAACUGGCAGGCUAGAGUCUU
rnacentral:rRNA from 1 species